rnacentral:lncRNA from 1 species
CGCUGGCCCAUGGAUCCCAGAUGGUUCUUAACUAAGUUUCAGCUCACAGUCAAGAAGCUCCGUGACAAGGCUGUCUCCUCCUUUUGUGGAAAGCAAGCACGAACUUCAUGGGUUUCAAGGACCCGAAAUUCACAGACCACAAGGCGAAGAAAGAUUGCUGUUACCGAUUUUUGAAAAGCUCAUGGGAAGUGGUCUUCUCCUUUCUUCGGGUUGCAUUUAAAUCAUCCUGAGAUUUUUCUAAUCGGACACACGUUUGGCUGCGGAACAAAGAGCGGGCUCAGCAGGCACGUCAUUACCUGAGGCCGUCACAGUGAUUCACUUGUGCUAAGAUGGCUAAGGAAUGCGUAUGUUUUAGCUGAAAGUCAAGAAUGUAAUGUUGAACACGAACGAUUUUUCAUGAAUCUGGGAGACACUUUACCCAAAUUUCUCCUAUCUGCAACAAGUGAAAAAACGAGAACACUGGAAUCGCCUUGCAAAGUUAGCGUUGGGAGUCAGAAGAACAUCCAUUGUAGAGAUGAAUUCUGUGGAUCACGGGCUUCCUACUGGCUGUCAAUGUUCUCCAGUGACCCAGUGAUAAUCAUGGCAUGACAUCAAGCUAUCCUGUAACAAGUUACAAUGAAGAAACAGUGUUAUCACUAAAGAAGCCUAGCCCCUGAAAUCCCUUACCCACGAUUUCUCCAGGCUGAACUUCCAGGCCAGUUGAACUAGUACGCCCGGUGUUCCCCAGCACACCAUGGACCUCCGAUUUCCCACACUGGCAUCCCCAUGGCGGACCUCUGACUUCAGCUGCAGGUGCGCGACACAGUUGCAGGCGACCUCAGGCUCACUCAGCUGACAGUGUCCUACCUCCAGGGCCACGCUCUCUGCUUAUGGCCUUCCUACACUCAAGUGUAGUCCACAUGUGUUGGGGAGUUUUAAUGCCUGGGGACAGGGAUAGGAACUGGUGGGUAAACGCCCCAUCUUCCUCCCAUCCGUGCAGGGGGAUAAUUCUAGAGGCAUCUGCACAAUUCCGGGCAGUCCCUGAGGAAGGGAGCCAGUUGCCCAAAGCAGCAAGCUCAGAGAUGUUCUUUUAAGUUGGGUUUUCCUCCUUUCCUGCCUCAGUUCCCUCUCCCUCACUUCUCCCAGGGACCAACUACCAAAUAAGAAUUCUUAUCUGCAGCCAUGUUCUUGUCUCAGCUUUCCUUUCGGGGGAACCCUGAUUAACACACUUCUGAUUAUUAUUAUUAUUAUCAUUGUGCUAGUCAUCUCAUCUCAAAAAUGAGUUAUGCCAAAAUGCUCCCUGCUUAAAUUUGGCAAGAGUUAAGUUCAUAUGUGUACUUGGGUCUAUUUUUGGACUCUUUGUUCCACCAAUAAAUUUAUAUUUUGUUUGGAAUAGUGUUUGCAUGACAAACACAAUUAAUUUACGUUAAUUAAUAUACGUUAAAGAAUGCUUUCAUUUUUCCUCUUUUUCAAGAUAUU